rnacentral:sRNA from 1 species
ACUACAGCCCAUCUAUCCCAGUGAGCCGCUUCCCCCAGUCUUGACUUACGCUGUACAGCAUACGGCGAUGUUGCACAUCCAGAGUUGUUCAACAUCAUGAAAUGGAUAAAGAGAAGAGAAGAGCAUAUAUUUCAAUCUACCGAAUUUAUAUUGAUAUCUGUGCUUGAUAUUACCACAUCGUCAUAUCCUUGAUUGUUGUCGCUGAAAAAUUUGCUCCAUAUUACCGCAGCAGAUGAAGAGACUGAUAACCAUUCAAUGGGUGGAGUGACACAGUCGAUUCCCCUAGCCUCUCGCCUGGUGGCAGAGCCUAACCCCUCUGGUUGGCAUGUUGGGCUUCCUACAAGCCAAAACAAGACAAGAACGUGCUGGAGUAUUUUGCUCGAUAUAUCUAUCAUAUAGAUAUUGGUAAAGAUUUAUACUAUUGGUAGAGUAUUUCUAAAUUUUCACAUCAGUAAUACAUGUACAGAUAAAUGGGU